rnacentral:rRNA from 1 species
GAUGAACGCUGGCGGCGUGCCUAACACAUGCAAGUCGAACGAAGUUAAACGCUGAAUUGAUGGUAGCUUGCUAUUGGAUUUUCUUGUUUAACUUAGUGGCGGACGGGUGAGUAACACGUGAGCAACCUGCCUUUCAGAGGGGGAUAACGGCUGGAAACGGUCGCUAAUACCGCAUGACAUAUUCGAGUGGCAUCACUUGGAUAUCAAAGGAGCAAUCCGCUGAAAGAUGGGCUCGCGUCCAAUUAGCUAGUUGGUGAGGUAACGGCCCACCAAGGCGACGAUUGGGUAGCCGGACUGAGGAGGUUGAAC